CAAAAGGAGGGUAGUGGGCUCUGACCGCGUGUCAGACGGUGCACGACUCCCUGUGUCAACAUACCAGGUUGUACCAGGUUGUGGCUGAAAUGAAGCAGCGGUGGAGGUUCAGGGCAACUGUUCAGAAACGUACCCUCCCUCGCAGUCCCAACCACCUUUGUUUCUCACCCAUCCUCCCUUGAGAUACUUCAUUCACAAAGGUUUGAGGCGCCGUCCCCAGGGAGUGGCAGGAGCACGGAGAGGAAGACAAGUGAGAAGAUGAUUAUAAGGAAUUAGGUGAAGAGGGAGGAAGAGAGCGGGAACAGUCUUCACCGUGUUACUCACUAAUGUUGCUGCGUUAACCCCAGAUAGUUAGCACAGUGGGGAGGAAGUCCUGCUCAGAGUUAAUAGUAGGAACUUGUACACAUAAUGAAACAAUUGUUAGUGCAGUUUGAGGGGACAAUUACACAAAGUGCAGGGCUCUGCUCCGUGAAGCACGGGCCAUUUUAUCAUCGCUUUCAGAUGCUCCAAACAAACAGUCUGUGUCGUUGUUUAAAACAAAAAAAGCCCUGGGGACUGUGCCCAAGCAGGAACAAAUGUUUUGUUAUAUUUACCCCCGCCUGUUGCUAAUGAACACACCAUCCAGCGCUGUACUGGGAAUAAGUGCGCCGAUUGUGUCCGGCCUGUGUCCGGGGUUAUUUUUACCCCAGUCAAGUAUUCUGUCUGUAAAGUACUCAGAACAAUGAAUGAAAACUGAGUUUUUAAGACUCGAGACACAAAUAUUUCUUUCAGCUCUUUUCGGCUCCAUUCUGAAACUUUUUUUGGGAGCGAAAGUUGAUUUUCAAAGGAGAAGACGAGCCCGGGGCCAACAUCGUGUCAGUGGAAAGUUAACCAUAGACCAUAAUUUUGGUGCCACACUGAAAUCUACCUCCUUAAUUUUGAAGCAUUGCUGUCCAGGCAGACUUUUCAGUUGUGGCGAGGAGGAUGUAGAUUGUGGGGAGAUGGAGCUAGGAUUAUUGGAGGGAAAUGAUUAGGUUCAGCCCAGGCUGCUUCACAGUCCAGGCCUUGAUGAAAAGACUGAGGGAUAAACAAAAUAAAGUUUUUCUAUCGUUUCUCCGCACCAACUUCUUAACUCUAACUUGCCCUACUUUUAAAUGUAAGUGACCCAAAUUAAUAACAGAACUCCUCGUACAUUUAGAAGUUUCAUUCUUUACUGAAUACAUGACUCCUCCGUCCUCUAGGUGUCUGCUCUACCCUUGUGUAAACCUUUUAUGGUCUGAGGUCAAGAAACUGCAAAUUAUCACGUGUUUUUUCACACUAGUGGCCGUCCUCCCUGCGACCACACCCUGCUGCGCCUGCACAUGCUGAGCAGCUGAGGGUUAACAAGGCUGCUGCCACUGCUGCUGCUGCUCUCCUUACGUGUCGGCUCCAGUAGCAGCAGCAGCAGCAGUGGCUCCAUCCACAGGAAAUGAGGCAGAGGAUGUGGCAUGCAUGUACGCAAACACAGAGCCUUGAAGACAGGAUGGAGGGGAUGCAGGAGGAGAAGUGGAGGCAGGAUGUUCUCGUAAUGAAGUCAUGGGGUGUGGUGGUCACGCUCUCGGCUCUGACCAUGUGCUGAUGACGGGAGAAUCGUUACAAGAGAGUGUCCCACUGUACUCCCUGACGUAUCCUCUGUAGUGUCAAACACUAUUGUGGAUGCAGAAUUAACUACACCAAACAACAAACAACAAACUGAACUAACAAUAAUCACCGGCCCAACAAGUGACCCUCCAGCGGCCCCAGAAGAGGUCACAACUGAGACUCUGCCUUUGACCGUGGCUUCCUUUAUCAUCACUACACCAUUCCCUGAUUCUGAGACAGCAGGUGUCACUAGCGCCGUCACUGACGCAGCAGAACUUAUCACCACCGGUCCUCCUGUUGAGCAGACCACAGCCCCGGCCGAGGUCCUACUCGAGGCGACGUCGGUAGCUGAGCUCCAGCCUGAGGGGACGGCAGCUCCUGAGGUCCAAACAGGCGCCACUGUUGCCCCUGAGGUUCAACCCCAAGCAACAGCAGUCUAUGAGCAAGAAGACGGGGUUGUGAUGGAAGAUGGCACCAAUGGGAGCCUGAGCUCUGGUCAGGUGGUCGGCAUUGUUAUUGGUGCUCUGUUGGCAGUGGUCAUCGUCAUUGUUGUGGUGAUAACUGUUGUGAGGAGGAUGAGGAAAUACACCCUUUGAAGAAAAAAACUCCCAAGCAUCAGCAACAAAAUCCAAAGUUCUGGAAAUUCUGAACUACUGACUGUAAUGCCAUAUUUGACCAUUAAUACACCAGAACUAAACCAACCUAACCAGCAGUCUGGACUACCAAAGAACAAAAGAAAGUAAACGGCGGAAGAAGAAAAAAGCUCCCUCUGCCCUUCAGUGAACAAAACGAGGUGACAGCAGGAUGUCACAGAGAAUUUCAAGAUGCAUUUUGUUACAAAAAAAAAGUAUUUCGUGACAUGGAGCAGUGAGGGUGGGGUGGGGUUAAGAUUGUAGAAAGAAACAUAAAAAUGGGGGGGGAAAUGCCAAAGAAAAGAAAUUAAAAACAAAGGGAAGGUGGGAACAGGGGAAAAAAAACGCAAGAGAGACUGUUCCAAAUUCCACAAGAUGUAUAUACAAUGCAAGGGGCUGGGGAGGCUGAGGGGGGAGGGAGGGGGCGCUACACAGUAUACAACUAAUGACUUUUUCAUAAUACAGUCGAGUAGGUUAGUGUUAUAUAAUGGAAUUGACGGCAAACACACACACACACACAGCAGCAGCUUCAGUCCAUGGUUGUGGGCUUUAACGCACCCUCAGCACCGUUUAAACAUUUUCCCGCCUGUCACCUGGACCCCCGACGUGUCGGCCAACCGUAUGAAGCACCCAGUGCCGACGGUUUCCUGACAUGACACUUGUGACACACUCUGCCGGUCAGUCAUCCGGAGACCAGCAGAGAAAGUUAAGGAAAAAAAACAAAAAACAAAACAAAGGCACGCUCCAAUGCAGGAGUAACGUGACAUUCUGGCCACUUUAACACUGACUUCUAAAAACCUGAUACAUAUCUGUGAAAUUUAGCAGAAGGGUUUGUGCCACUCUGGUCUUCUCUCGGUAGCCGUUAGGAGGAUUUUUUUGAAGUGCAUUAUUAAUGUGAAUUGACUGUCCUUUUUUUAACCAUCACCCAUUCCAACAACAACAAAAAAAACAAAACAACAAACACCAACAGCUUUGUUGAUCUGUGCCUUUAUCGCAGACGAUGAUGUAUUUAUUCCAAAUAUUUUACUUGUUGAAUUAACAGAACAGAACUUUUAGUCUUUAUCAGUUAGGCUCCAGAUUGCAGGCACAGGAUGAUUAGAUGCACUUUUAGAUUUAGUGCAAAGUGUUAGGCAGUAAUGGCCGUCUUUUGUGUUAUUUUUGCAAUUGCAUGUGGGCUUCGUGGGUGUACAAUUUCUGAAGUCCCAGGUUAGCUCUGCUGGCUUUACAGACUCUUUUUAACAUGUGCACUGACUGAGGGAUGUAAUGUGGAAUGACUAGACUUUUGACACUGCAAACACUUGCAACGACCUGCGUGUCCGUCCACCCUUCUGCUUCACCACAUAGUUUCAGUUCUGCGUCUUUCAGUUUUGCCCCAAAAGGUAGUUUGAAACUUGUAUUUAAUUGCAGUGUUUUUUUUGUUCAUACUGUUUCAAUAAAAAGAAAAUGAAAAAACAA